rnacentral:rRNA from 1 species
UACAGAGGGGGCAAGCGUUGUUCGGAAUUACUGGGCGUAAAGGGCGCGUAGGCGGCCAACUAAGUCAGACGUGAAAUCCCCAGGCUCAACCUGGGAACUGCGUCUGAUACUGGAUGGCUCGAGUUCGGGAGAGGGAAGCGGAAUUCCAGGUGUAGCGGUGAAAUGCGUAGAUAUCUGGAGGAACACCGGUGGCGAAGGCGGCUUCCUGGACCGACACUGACGCUGAGGCGCGAAAGCUAGGGGAGCAAACGGG